GACCAGUGGACAGAAUUGUAUGACGGUGGUUUACAAUACAGACACAUGAUGACAAACAUGACAGAAUGCAUCAAUUCCAUGUUGAAUAUUUCCGCGUUAGCAACACUAUUUCCAAAGCAAGCAGAAAAAUAUGGUGGACAGAUGAAGGACGGUCAUGUUUGGUGAAAGGACAUUAUGAAAGAAAUUAGAGAGGCUAUAAAUAACCGAACUGUAUGCAUUCAAUAUGUCACUCGCUCGAAAACCUAUCAUUUUGGGUUACAGAGUUCGACAGGCCCAAC
rnacentral:lncRNA from 1 species